rnacentral:lncRNA from 1 species
UCGUAUGAUAGCUAGCAGCACACACAGAUCAACAAAGAAAAUUCAAACAUAUUUUUUUUUAAUUUAAUAAAAAUAUAUAAUAUAUCGAGAUCUUGCUGCUUUCAAUCAUCCCCAAUUGACUCCGAUCGAUCUAUUUCGCAGCUCCGAUCACAUUUUAUUCAUCCAUUUUCGAAUUGCAUUGAGUUCGUCGGAGAUGCUCUAGAAAGGGUUUUUUUGGAUCUGCAGGUUGUUCAUCGGAUGAGAGAGAAACAUUAUUCUUA